CAGUGCGUUGGUAAAUGAAAACCGAUAGAAUUUUUUUGCAAUUAUUCUUAUACUAAUCGACCAAAGACGAUUCAGACAUGAAGAGGUUUUGGGUGAACUGGCUCUCAAUUUUUAUUUCAAUGGCAACAGCCGAAAAAUCGAACGAUGCAAUAGGAAAUCUGUCUGGAAAUGAAUUACAUUGUACGACUCGUGAAUGUGUGAAGGAUAAUUUGGAAUUCGAACUGACUGUGUUAGAAAAUAUCAACCCGAGUGUAGACCCUUGUGAUGAUUUUUAUGAAUUCGCUUGUGGAAAUUUCCACAAUGUUCCUGAUGACAUUGUUCAAGAUAGACAACACAAGCGAUUUCAUCAUGUUUACGAUGAUAUGUUUUCGAAAAUGUUUUACAUAAUAAAAAAAAGCCUAUCGUUGGAGUCAUUCGAACCGUUCAACUUCCUAAGAGAUUUCUUAAUAUCUUGUGAAAGAUUGAACAAUAAUAAUGAUGCUUCCUACCCCGGAAUUAAAAGAGAUAGAGUGGAUUAUUUGAAAAAAACUAUUUCGAAAUUUGGUGGUUGGCCAGUUGUAGAAGGCGAUAAAUGGAACGAAACUGAUGACAACUGGACCAAUUUUAUCGAUGAAGCAAAGAACGUACAUUACCUUUAUUUUCAUUUUUAUGGAUUACGUAGUCAAUCAAUUGGAAAACGUACAACAAUAUCAUUUCAGCCUAUGGACCUUGAAUUUUCAGGAGAAGAUGUAAGAGUUCGCACAUACAGUAGAACGAUAGUCCCUUACCGCAAAUUUAUGGUCAAUGUUGCAGAUAUUUUAGGGGCGGAUAAGACACAAGCUAAAAUAGAACUCAAGGGAUUACUAGUAUUUGAACUCAAACUUGCUCAUAUAAGCAAGAAAAAUAGUGCAUCACUAUCGAGUUAUGAAGAUAAUUCAAUUGAAUUGUCAGUAAAGAAAAUGAUAGACAAGUGGCCAAGCAUUGAUUGGAUUAAAUUGUUAAAUGCACAAUCCGACUUGCCGAGUAAUAUUUCAAAUGAAACAGUAAUUUUUAUAGAAAAUACUGACGCCGUAACGAAAUUAGACAAACUGAUAGAAAAGACUCCUGCAAGAGUGCGAGCUAAUUAUGCAAUGUGGAAGACGAUUCAAUAUUUGAUUCCAAUGGUCGAGUCUGCGUCUCUAUCUCAAUUAUUGCAAAUUUAUAAUAAAGUUAAGAACCCAUCAUAUGUUCAUAAGCCAUUUAUAUGCUUCGAUGAACUUAAAAAGAACUUUCCAGAACUCAUGACUGCUUAUUAUGGGCGAAACUAUCCAGUUGACAGACCAACUAAAACUCAUAUUCAUCAGUUUGCUUCAAUCAUAGAACAAGAAUUCUUUGAUACUUUGAAUAAAACAAAGUGGUUGGAUGUGAGAACGAGAGAGGAACUAUUCAAAGUCUUAAAAUCUUUAAAGAUUGUUAUUGGCUACCCCGAUGAAAUUAUGGAUGAUGGAAAAUUGGAAGAAUACUUCCAAGGACUCGAAAUAACUCAAGAUAAUUUUCUGAAAAAUGUAUUGAAUCAACAAUUAUUCAUCAAUAAAAAACGUUUUACUUUUAGUCAUAAACCGAAAAACUUACUCGAGUUUGUGGACAAAUUUUACAUGCUGACUUCACUUACAUAUGAUGCUUUUUUCAAUGAUUAUACGAAAACAAUCGUUUUAGGUAUCGAAGUGUUGAGAAACUUGUUUUUUAGUAUCCAUCGUCCGUAUUACGUUAAUCUUGCCCUGCUCGGGGGAACGCUUGCUCACGAAAUAGGGCAUUCUAUUGACUUCUCUUACCGAAGUGUUAGCGAAUUCGAAGUAACCGAUAGUAUUUGGAGUAAAUCAUCAAAACAAGUAUACCACGAUAUACGAGAAUGUAUUGCCGAGCAGUACAACAAUUAUUCUAGUAAAGUGACUGGAAGAAAAAUGAACGGUGAUUUUUACCUUAACGAAAACAUUGCUGACAAUAUUGGUGCCCAAGUUGCUUAUUCGGCCUAUCAAGACUGGGUCAAAACACAUGGACCAGAACCAACUUUCUCUAGCUUGCCGUACAACUCGAAUCAAUUGUUUUAGCUAUCAUUCGCUAAUCCAUGGUGCUCACCGAAAUCGACAUUACAAAAUUUGAGUUCAACCGAUGUGCAUCCUUCUUAUGCUCAUCGUGUUAUGGUACCACUUUCUAAUAGCCCAGAGUUUUCAAAAGAUUUCGAUUGUCCCUUGGGGUCUAACAUGAAUCCAGUGAAAAAAUGUAUUGUCUUUUGAUUGAAAUUAUCAAAGACUUUUCUACACUCGUUGCAGGAAUUCUCACUUCUUCGCACUAUUUUACUCGACAAUUAAUUCACUUCAACUGUCGAAUAACUUUCAUUAAAAAUCGUCAAUUAAAAAAAAAACCACAACUAAUGCCAAGUCAAAAAUAUCGUUUCUUUUAAUAUCAGCAUAAAAUAAAUCUCAAGUACAAAAAGAACGUCUGCUACGUCUUAUUAUUUCUAUAAGAAACACUGAUUAUUAUUGCAUUUCUGCUAUAAUCAGAAUUAGUAAUUGCAGAUUAUCAAAAAUGGCAUUGUCGAAAGUUGUUAAUAGUAAUCCUACAAUAUAAAUUUUAUUAUCAUCUUUUCCUCAGGUUCGUUUUAAAUUCGACUUUAUGGAAUCGUAGUUCCAGUUAAAAAAAAUCUGGGCGUCGGUUGGCCCUGCGGGCCAGCCCCAAAACUUCCCGCUGUGUUCGAGCUCAAGAAGCUUGAAAACAUUACUGUAAACAUAUUUUCGAGCUCCUCGAGCUCCUUAAUUCUGAGAAAUAAAAAAAAAACUAAAAAAUAAAAUAUUUUUUUCUUAAUUCGAAACUAUUUUCGAGUCUACUUGAUCGAAUGAUCUGAAAUCUUUAGGAAAGUUGAUGGCCAACAAGCUCUUUUGAUUGCCAACUUAACUAUUUAAACCAAUUCAUUAGUUAAAAUGUUAAAGAGCGUUCACAUCCACACACACACACAUACAUAUAUACCGACAAUCGGACAUCAAUCUGAAAAUAGUCAGAAUACCUUCCUAAGACCUCGAAACGUCGACAUCUGAUGAAAACUCGAUUUUCGAAAAUCGGGGUGAAAACAAUAACUUCCUGAAUUUUUCGAAAAUCAUCGAUUUUCUUAGCGAGAAGUAAAAAAUAGUUUACAGAUAAUGUGUCUCUUAUGAACAUUAGUGAUGUGUUCACAUAUGAGUUGGACAUUUUUUAAUUUAAACUCUAAUAAAAUUUGUUAAUAGUUAUUUUUAUCAUACAUUAGUAAGCAUUGAUAAAAUUAGGCUCUAUUUCGAAGAAAAAAAAACAUUACUAAUAAGUGAUUAAACAAAUUACCAUUAAUAUAUUUCUUUGGCGUCUAAUGUGUUUAGUAAUGACGUAAUUCAAAUUGUUAAUUAGCACCCCACGUGGCCACUACUAUCUUGCGGCCUAGGGCACAUCAGUCAAAUUCUCCACUAAAUAGGUUGACUUGGCCGACUCGCGGGUUUGCAGUACCUCCUUAAUAUAGUUCACGUUUCCCACGCGUGCUUGUCUUUCGUAUUUAUUUAUUUCACUGUACAUUGUCGUAUUGAUUAUGUAAAUAGUGAUGGUUUUUAUUUCAGUAAGUCUUCAGAAUAGAGAUUAUUUAUACCUUUAACGUAUGAUCUUAAAAUUUGAAAUUAUUAAGUAUAGAAUCUAUUUUAUUUUCACUAAGCCAAUAAUUGGAGUAUAUUAUAUCAUUUAACAGCGUUAAAAAGUCACUAAAAUGAUAUAUAUAAACUAAAUGACAUUUUUAUUUUAUUGUGAGUGUAUGAGUCAUGCUUAUUGGAAUUAUUCAACUUUUUUUUUUUUUAGUUUAUUUAGAAACCUGGUAUUGUAAAGAACUAAUGAAACAAAAAAUAUCAAGUUGUUAAAUAAAAUUUAAUUGCUGCUUGAUUUUAUCACACAUUACUGGUACUGAUAAAGACAGAAAUUUAAUACGAAAAAAAAAGGACAUUAGUCAAUAGUAGUUUGAUCAUUCAAUAUCAACCGAUUUUGACGUCAUUAUACCUAGAGAAAUAACUUAUUUUCUAUCAACUGAAGACGUUUCAGACAUGAACAAGUUAUGGGUGAACUGGUUCUUACUUUUUAUUUCAAUGGCAACAGCCGAAAAAUCGAACGAUACAAUAGGAAAUCUAACUGGCAACAAAUUAAAUUGUACGACUCGUGCAUGUGUGAAGGAUAAUUUGGAAUUCGAACUGACUAUGUUAAAUAAUAUGAACCCGAGUGUAGAUCCUUGUGAUGAUUUUUAUGAAUUCGCUUGUGGAAAUUUCCACAAUGUUCCUGAUGACAUUGUUCAGGAUACACAACACAAGGAAUUUCAUCAUGUAUUCGACG